rnacentral:rRNA from 1 species
AGAGUUUGAUCAUGGCUCAGGAUGAACGCUGGCGGCAUGCCUAAGACAUGCAAGUCGAACGAGAGGGCCCAUUGAGAUUUAUCGAAGAGUUGAGUGCUUGCACAAGACUUGGACUUAUUUUGAUUUGGAAUUUCCCUCGAGUGGCAAACGGGUGAGUAACACGUGGGUUACCUGCCUCUAAGUUGGGGAUACCAAUUGGAAACGAUUGUUAAUACCGAAUGUGCUCUACGGAGUAAAGUUCCCCUUAAAGGAACGCUUGGAGAUGGGCCUGCGGCGUAUUAGCUAGUUGGUGGGAUAACGGCCUACCAAGGCAACGAUGCGUAGCCGAACUGAGAGGUUAAUCGGCCACACUGGGACUGAGACACGGCCCAGACUCCUACGGGAGACAGCAGUUAAGAAUAUUCGUCAAUGGGGGAAACCCUGAACGAGCAAUGCCGCGUGAACGAUGAAGGCCCUAUGGGUUGUAAAGUUCUGUUGUUUGGAAAGAACUGUAAGAAUAGGAAAUGAUUCUUACUUGACGGUACCAUUCAAGAAAGCCACGGCUAACUACGUGCCAGCAGCCGCGGUAAUACGUAGGUGGCGAGCGUUAUCCGGAUUUAUUGGGCGUAAAGGGUGUGUAGGCGGUUUGUUAAGUAUAAAAUUAAAGCCCGAAGCUUAACUUCGGUUCGUUUUAUAAACUGGCAGACUAGAGUAAAGUAGAGGCAAAUGGAAUUCCUAGUGUAGUGGUAAAAUGCGUAGAUAUUAGGAGGAACACCAGUGGCGAAGGCGAUUUGCUGGGCUGUUACUGACGCUGAGGCACGAAAGCGUGGGGAGCAAAUAGGAUUAGAUACCCUAGUAGUCCACGCCGUAAACGAUGAGUACUAAGUGUCGGGUUACCGGUGCUGAAGUUAACACAUUAAGUACUCCGCCUGAGUAG